AGAGUUUGAUCCUGGCUCAGAAUCAACGCUGGCGGCGUGCCUCAGACAUGCAAGUCGAACGCGAAAGUUCCCUUCGGGGGGCGAGUAGAGUGGCGCACGGGUGAGUAACACGUAGGUAAUCUACCUUCGGAUGGGGAAUAACAACCGGAAACGGUUGCUAAUACCGCAUAAUGCAGCGGCACCUAAUGGUGACAGUUGUUAAAGCGGGGGAUCGUAAGACCUCGCGUCUGGAGAGGAGCCUGCGGCGGAUUAGCUAGUUGGUAAGGUAACGGCUUACCAAGGCUAUGAUCCGUAGCCGGCCUGAGAGGGCGGUCGGCCACACUGACGCUGACAUACGGGUCAGACUCCUACGGGAGGCAGCAGUCGGGAAUUUUGGGCAAUGGGCGAAAGCCUGACCCAGCAACGCCGCGUGAAGGAUGAAAUCCUUCGGGAUGUAAACUUCGCAAGAACGGGAAGAAUAAGUCGGUAUUAACACCACCGGUGAUGACGGUACUGUUUGUAAGCUCCGGCUAACUCCGUGCCAGCAGCCGCGGUAAUUC
rnacentral:rRNA from 1 species